UACGAAGGGGGCUAGCGUUGCUCGGAAUUAUUGGGCGUAAAGGGCGCGUAGGCGGUGCGGUAAGUCACCUGUGAAAUCUCCUGGCUCAACUGGGAGCUUGCAGGCGAAACUGCCGUGCUGGAGUGUGGGAGAGGUGCGUGGAAUUCCUGGUGUAGCGGUGAAAUGCGUAGAUAUCAGGAGGAACACCGGUGGCGAAGGCGGGUCUCUGGGCAGUAACUGACGCUGAGGAGCGAAAGCGUGGGGAGCGAACAGG
rnacentral:rRNA from 1 species